rnacentral:lncRNA from 1 species
GUCCAGCAUAGCAGGCAGGCAGUGCGCUUUAUUUCAGGAGGAGGCCUGGAUCUUUUGCGCGAACUAGUUUCCACAGCACGUUGGGAAAAUCUGUCUAGAUAUCUCCUGUCAGCCAUGGGAAAGCGCAGAUCUAGAUGUGGAGGAAAUGGAGGACUCAGAACCAAGGAUUUCCAAGUGAUUUCUUCCAAAGCUCAAGACACUAACUCUGUUAAAGCUGGUCUGUUCUAACUGAGACACGGCUGCAGAAGUCAGGAGCCCACUUCCUCCAAGAACAGGAUAUAACCACUAGAGGCACCCAAGAUUAUUUCAGGAUAAAUGAACAUUUUGUGGUUU